GAGAGGAAGAGAGAGAGAGGAGGAGAGAUAACAGUGUGGAGAGAGAGAAAGGAGGAGCAACUGAGAGAAAAGAGCAAUACAGAGGCUGAGAGCUGCACACACAGCAGAGAGUAGUUUCAGGAGAGGACACAGGCAGAGGACAAGAAACAAGAAGAAAAGUAAGAGAGAGGGAAAAAAGAAGUCAAGAAGACAAAAACAUUAUUGGCUGGGAAUCCAUCCAUCCCAUCCAGCCGACUGCAAAAGCUCCAGUCUGCAGUGAAUGGUCAAAACCAGUGUGACUGGGCGUCUACUGGGAGGAAAGACCACAGUGAGCAGACUGCAGAACAGCAUGGCUGACGGUGUGAGCGAGGAGUCAGAGUAUAACCCGGGGAAAGAUGAGCUGAGCUGGGGCUACGAGGAAGGUGUAGAGUGGGGACUCCAUUUCCCAGCAGCCAAUGGCGAGUAUCAGUCUCCAAUUAACUUAAACUCCAGGGAGGCCCAGUAUGACCCGUCCCUCCUAGACGUCGGCUUAUCACCAAACUAUGUUGUGUGUCGAGACUGUGAGGUCGUCAACGAGGGACACACUGUCCGCAUCCUUCUCAAGUCCAAGUCAGUGGUUACCGGGGGUCCGCUGCCCAGUGAUCACGAGUACGAGCUUCAUGAGGUCCGAUUUCACUGGGGCAAAGAGAACCAGAGAGGAUCAGAGCACACUGUCAACUUCAAGGCUUUCCCCAUGGAGCUCCAUCUCAUUCACUGGAACAGCACUCUGUUUAACACUGUGGAGGACGCUCUGGGGAAGAAGAAUGGAGUCCUCAUCAUAGCUUUGUUUGUGCAGAUUGGUAAAGAGCACCUGGGUCUGAAGGCCAUCACUGAAGUCCUGCAGGACCUACAGUACAAGGGGAAGAGCAAAAUAAUCCCAUGCUUUAACCCCAAUACUCUGUUACCUGACCCAUUGUUGCGGGACUACUGGGUGUAUGAAGGAUCUCUGACCACCCCACCCUGUAGUGAAAGUGUGACCUGGAUCCUCUACCGCUACCCUCUCACCAUCUCACAGCUGCAGAUUGAGGAGUUUCGGAGGCUGCGCUCUCAUGUCAAAGGGGCUGAGCUGCUAGAAGGGAAUGACGGGAUGUUGGGGGACAACUUCCGUCCCACCCAGCCGCUCAGUGACCGGAUGGUUCGGGCUGCUUUCCAGUGACUCUCACGUAUCACUUCAGCUCAGAAAACAAUGGGUCCUUACCUUACGAGUAUAGAAGGAGAGAAGAAAGACGAGGGCUGAGGAGCGGAAACAGGAGGAGAGAGGGGAAGUUUAUAUGCUUGUAGAUCAGCUGCAGACUGGGGGUUGAGAAACUAUUGAUAACAAUGUGUGUGUGUGUGUUUUCUGAACAACCUCUCACUCUCUCCCCCCGAUUAUUACUCUAUAAAGUACGUGUAUUAACGUGUGUGUGUGUUUCCUGAUUAGAUGUUAGGAAGCUUUAUAACCAGACCGUCUCGACUGUUAAAACAAGGAAACAUAAACAACAGAUGUACACACACACACACACACACACACACACACACACACACACACACACACACACACACACACACACACACACACACACACACACACACACACACAAACACAGAACACAGAACACACAUUUGGUGGAUACACAUUACGUGCAUACACCUGCAGCUAUGUUACAGACCAUUACUGCCGUGGAUCUACUGCACAAGUUUAACACACAGUUUACAGACUAUACUGACCAAAUAUUUCAUUUUGAAUCAGACAAAUCUAAAAAGGAUUUAACAAUUAUGAGCUUUAUAUUGGCCUAUAAGAGAAUAUAAAUAUGAGCAUAUUCACAUUAUUUGAAUUCUAGGUAAUGACACUUAAGUGGAAAUCUUACUGAUCACUGCUGUUAAAAUCUUCCUUGUUGAGCAAUGCAGACAUUAAAAAUGUUUAUUUCAUAUCAUGCAGACCAUAAUUACUAUAGAAAAACCAUUCAUAUUGUGUUUUUGUUUUGGAGUCAGAGGUUGGAAAGAGUGUGAAUUGCUGUCACCUCUCUUUUUUCUUAUAUGAGUCAAAGUGUUGCUUUAGAUUUUCAUCCUUCCCAUUGUUGACACUCAAAUACAGCCUUGUCUUGGAAACUUGUGACAUUUCAUUUCUUGUUUAUCCAGCAAACGUUGUCCUGAUAUUGAGCCAUUUAAAACCUAUUUAAAGAUACACACUCAAAGGUUAGUUUACACCACAUUGAACAUUAAUAUCUAUAUUUAUACUGGAUCCAUCCUAUUGGAGCCCCCCAAUACAUGCUAAAGGGUUGAUUAACAUCAUGUUGGUUCACUAACACAGUAUAUAUACUGUAUAGGCUAAAAGCAUUCGUAUCAUCCUGUCUUUGUUCUUUGAUACAUUUAAUGUCCUUUCUUUGUUUAAUGAAUACUAUAAAGAAAUUGAUUUUUAUUUAAAAAUUGCCAUAUCUAAAUGACAGUGAAUGUUGACUAUUAACAGCUUUAAUACAGAAUAAAAGUCUUUGCUGUUUGUA